rnacentral:rRNA from 1 species
UACGUAGGGGGCAAGCGUUGUUCGGAUUUACUGGGCGUACAGGGAGCGUAGGCGGUUGGGUAAGCCCUCCGUGAAAUCUCCGGGCCUAACCCGGAAAGUGCGGAGGGGACUGCUCGGCUAGAGGAUGGGAGAGGAGCGCGGAAUUCCCGGUGUAGCGGUGAAAUGCGUAGAGAUCGGGAGGAACACCAGUGGCGAAGGCGGCUCGCUGGGCCGGACCUGACGCUGAGACGCGAAGGCGUGGGGAGCGAACGGG